GAUAUGUAGAAAGAGAUGUAUAUGAAGCGAGAUAAGUGAGGUGAUCACAAGUAUGAAAAAUUUCGAAAAUGAUUAUAAAUUGCGGCGUCUGACUUGUUCGAUAAUCAAACGACGAAGGGAUCUUUUUUCUUUAUUGCCACGACCACCACUACCAGCCUAUUUGUAGCUCUCUACUGCGUCUACUACUUUUCUGCUGUAAAUUACGUCACUGUUUUACUACAUACCAGCAUUUUCUCUCGAAUAAGAACUGAUCGUUGUGCCCGAUUCCGAGCAACCUUUAUCGUUUCAAUAUUUUUUUAUCCUUUUUAUUCUUUGUUUACACACACACACACGCAUAAUUUUUUUAUUUCCUUUUUUCGUUUACGACAACUUGGGGUCCUGAACUAUUUUUGCUCGGACUCGAGGUAGUCGUAAAAACAUACUAUCUAAAAUUCUAAUGAUUUACUUUGAUGAAAAAUACUUUGAUGAAUAUAACCGAGAACGGACGUUUUUUCUUUCUACAUUUUUUCUUUUUGAUUGUAACGAACGCCUCCUGCGCAUAAUUCGAAUUAUGCAUGAUCUUUACACGAUGAUCGAUAUUCUUACAUUUGUAAGAAACGUCCGUUCUCGAUACAUUUAUGUACAUACGAAAUUAUGAGCGACAUAUCGACGAUUCGAUCGGACAUUGAUGCAGCAUUAUGAGUCGACGUGCAUAGCGAGGAGGUUAUCGCGUACGCACGAACGGUGCAUAAGUACGACAAUAAUCAUUGAUCUAAAUUAUUUAUUCCUUCUGACCGAUCGAUCGUCAUCGAUGUGAAAAUUUCAACUUUGCUACUUCUACGAGUGGAAAUUUUCAAUAAAUGCAUGUUUUUUCUUUUUUUCUUUUUUCCAUAACAACUAUGUCUUCUAUAAUAUGCUAUGUACAAUACGCUUAUGCGUCCCGUAAGUUCGUUUGCCAUAACCUCGAUCAUCUUUGGCCUUCCGUAUUUGCAAGAUAAAUGCGCUUUCGAAACAACAACUAAGAAAAAGAAAAAAAAAAAAAAAAUAAAUAAAUAAAUAAAAAAAAAAUAAAAAUAAAAGGGAGAGAACGUACACCGACAGAUAAGAUCGAGGAGAUAAGAUCGAUUCGAAAAAUCAAUUGUACGCUUUUAUCGAAGACGAAAAUGAAAAAAAAAAAAAAAAAAAAAAAAAGAAAAAGAAAAAAAUAAAUAAAAAGAUUAUCUACGAUAUAUACGAUGUGCACGUUCCCGCCAUUUUUCAAUACCAAUCACAUUUUUUUUUUUCCCUUUAUUUCCUGGAUGAGAAUGUUUGUAGGCUGAACGAACUUACGACGGAAUUACAGACUUUACCUGAGCACUGGGAGUUCGUCGAAAGCUGGCUGCAGGUCUUGAUAGGACACACGAUUCUUAUGUCUACAAGCAAUAUGUUAUACACCCCGUUCGUAAUUAAAACUGACGUGGCAUGGAGAUUCUUAAGGCAUAAAAAAGAAGCGGUUGCGUAGGCGCCAAAGAGGAUUAAAUUGUGCGACGACGCAAACAACUAAUGUCUUUUCGUUUAUCUAGUUUCCUACGUAGUUACGUACUUACUUACGUAUCUACGUAAUACCCACGUAUGUAUCUAUUUACUUAGCUAUAAUUUUUCCAUCAUAUUUGUAUUCUAUAUUUUAUCUUAACACAUCGCCGAACUUAAUCCUCGCGAGAGCGAUAAUCGUUUAAGAGGAUCAACCGUCUCCUUUCUCUCCAUCCUGUUUCGUUCCUCUUCGUUUUCAUCUCUUUAUCCUAUUUCCCCUUAUCCCCCCCCACCGUGAACUCUCUUUCUCUCUCUCUCUCUCUCUCUCUCUCUGUCCUUCCUCUUCGUUUUGAUUGGUUUCACGAUCUUUAAAGGAGCAGCCCAUCGUUCGAGAAAUCAUUUUGGUCCUGACAGUCCUCGUGUCAAGGUGGAAAUGAGAGAUCGAUGGUAUAUUAGGACUCUUCCCGAUGAUAUUCUUCUUACCGUCGUCGCGCUCGCCGUCGCAAUUCGUAAUGGGAUGAUGCGCGUUCAGCGCUGGACCUCCACCACAGACGGCCGCUCGCCGAACGUCUCGUUCUGAUGUCACAGGUCAAGAUGGCACAGGUUUCGGGACACGUAACACACGACACACAUAGAGAGAGAGCGAGAGCAUGCAGAGAAAAAAUAUAGAGACUCACGGAUUAACGAAGGGUGCCAUGUAGGACCAAAGAAGGACCGAGAUAUGUUAGCGUCGGAUUAAGAGGGAGGAUAUUUUCUUUUUCUUUCUUUUCUUUUUUUUUUUUUCUUUCCGUUUUUCCCCCACCCCACCCUUCGAAUAGUAAUCCAUCGAAACAAGUUAUUACGAAGUCUGGGAAGAUUUUAGAAAAAUGAACAGCGCCCCGAAUUUUAUGUAAAGUUUUAUGUGAAAUAGCUUUCGAAAGUAAUAUUACUUGGUAUUCGCGAGAAGCUGGGCGUAUCCGUAGGAUUUUCGAAAGGGGGAGGGUCGGAAGGGUGGGAGGAGGGGUCGAUAAAGAGGUCGUUUUAUACUACAGACCGGUGGCCGAGGAGUCAUGGCGUCGCGACGGCACCCCCGUCGGCGCGUUGUUGGCGUUGCUGAGGUAAACCGUGGCCGUUGAGGAGGGCGACGCCCCGGUUUGACUGUUCUGGCUGUUGCCGCUCGAAUUGCUCGAACCACUGCCCACGCUUCCUGUGCUGCCAGCUAGUCAUGCAACCAAUCCAACCAAAAAACAAAAGAAAAUACGAGCUAGUUUCAGCCAUCAUCCAGAAGCGAAAAUCCAAGAAAUGUAGACCAAGAAUAAGGAGAGAAGAGAUAUAAAGGAGGAAAUAUGUAUGCGAAUGUGAAUACGAGAGAAUGAAAUGGAUCAAGAGACGAUGCUACGUUUUUCUUUUUUUUUUCUUUCUUUUUUCCUUUCUGUUCUCUCUGCUCCAGCAGUCUACUUCCAUACUACUUCUCGCGCGUUCAGAAACGUAAAACGAAGAAAGGAUGGGUAUAUUAGAAAUUUAUCGGAUAAAUAUGUAUGUCGAAUGGUACGAUACACACCACACGUUCAAUAAAAUGUUAAAGAAGAAAAAUACGAUUAUGUAUGUUGACGGAUAAACGAUGUAAAGUGUA